rnacentral:rRNA from 1 species
GCCCACUAGCUAGCUCACCCACCUAAACCCAACAACCCCCUAUCUAUAACCCCUAAUUAAAUUACGCACCUUUUAAACAAAUCAUUUUUCCCCCUGAGUAUGGGCGACAGAAAAGGACCUACCAGUAAGCAACAGCAUUAGUACCGCAAGGGAACGCUGAAAGAGAAGUGAAACAAAUCAGUUAAGCACAAAAAAGCAGAGUUCCACCCUCGUACCUUUG